rnacentral:siRNA from 1 species
UGUGGAGGCUUAGAUAGAAACAUC